AGUUAAUGAACAUGUAUAAGUAUAUAUUUUGAAAAUAUAAAAAAAGAAUAAAUAAUUUUAUAAACUU
rnacentral:tRNA from 2 species